CAAUUACAAAUAAUGACAAAAAACAUUAACUUUGUUUAUUUCAUUUGCAGCAAGUUACUCUUGGUAGACCACCCAAUCGUCAUGAGGUAUGGAAGAAGACACAUACGAAAAUUGAAGACGGAAAAGAAGUUUGGGUCGAGCCACGGGCAGAGGAUACCUAUAAUCGGUAUAUUCAAGCGAUGGAGGAGCUCACUAGGAGUCAGUCGACCGAUGAUCAAGGCAAUACAAUCAUGCCAUCGGAGGAACAAACUAUCUCUGUUGGUUGGACGUGGUCGGCGGCGUGACGAAGGGAAGAGCAUACGGCCUUUGCUCCGAGAAGAACUUUCACCGCCUCCAUUUGUGGAUUGCAAGGUAUAGGAAGUUCUGCCACUGUGUCAAAUGAGCAGCUUGAGGAGAUGCGACACGAACUUCGGGAACUUGCUAGGAAUUAUGAGGAGGAACGUAAGAAAAGGUUGGAGGAGGAGCGACGUAGGAUAAAUCUUGAGUCAGAUGUCAAAGAACUCAAGAAUCAGGUGUGUAACCUCAUCAAGUUGCCUCGCUCUCCGCCCCCAGCCCCGAUCAUGAUGAUGGUGAGGAUGUAGAGGAUGAGGAGGAUCAGGAGCAUGGAGAGGCUGAAAUGGAGUAUUAGGUGUCCGUUGUUAUUUUUGUUCUAACUUAUGUUAUUUUGGAUUGUUUGAAGUCUAGUGGGAUGGUAUAUGUUUGGAUAACAUUGACGUUGGUUGGAUUCGUACGUUUUUUGUUGGCUUAAUUUUAAUGUUUGAAUUAUUUUGAUGUGUUUUUAUUAUUGUUUUGAUGGCUGUUGUUGGAUGCGUUUCUGAUUCUUAUUGAAUCAGCUAUUGAGAUGUUUUUUAUAACAGGUGCUACAGUGAAAAA